rnacentral:rRNA from 1 species
AACGAACGCUGGCGGCAGGCUUAACACAUGCAAGUCGAACGCUCCGCAAGGAGAGUGGCAGACGGGUGAGUAACACGUGGGAACGUACCCUUUACUACGGAACAACUCCGGGAAACUGGAGCUAAUACCGUAUGUGCCCUUUGGGGGAAAGAUUUAUCGGUAAAGGAUCGGCCCGCGUUGGAUUAGCUAGUUGGUGGGGUAAAGGCCUACCAAGGCGACGAUCCAUAGCUGGUCUGAGAGGAUGAUCAGCCACAUUGGGACUGAGACACGGCCCAAACUCCUACGGGAGGCAGCAGUGGGGAAUAUUGGACAAUGGGCGCAAGCCUGAUCCAGCCAUGCCGCGUGUGUGAUGAAGGCCUUAGGGUUGUAAAGCACUUUCACCGGAGAAGAUAAUGACGGUAUCCGGAGAAGAAGCCCCGGCUAACUUCGUGCCAGCAGCCGCCGCGG